GGAAGUUUGACAAAAGAUUUUCAAUUUCAAUAAUAAAUUUCUUUUCUCCGUUCUGACCAUUUGUGCAUCGCAAAUAAAAAUGAGCCUCGGGUCUGGCACGAGCUGAUAGCUACCGCGAAGAGAAGUAAAUAGGGGGGAGAGAAAGAGAACGAGUGAAAAAGAGGGAGGGUGGUUAGGAGAGGGACGUUCUGGCAAUACACGAGCGAGGCACGUAGCGUCCGAUUCAGUCUGCAUCCGACCGCCGCGAGUGUCGCGUCGCGAAGCAGUGGUCGAAUUUCGGGGGGGACACGAGACUCCGAUACGAGUCAGUUCGUGCGAGUGAUCGUGAUACGACACCACUGUCUUUUAUCCCGUGUCUAAGCGGGCAUUUAUUAUUCAUAUUUUGUAUUUUCUUGAAUCGUGAUUUGUAAUAAAAAAAAGGAAAAAUUAGUGAGAAAUCGCAGUUGCGUGUAUUGGUGUUAGAGAAAGAAAGAAAGAGCAGGUCACUGAACGACCAUACGAAGGUAGGAAGAGGGAGAGAGAAAAAUAAAAGACAGACAGAGAAGGAUUUUCGUCGCGACAUAUACACACGUAUAUACACGUGCGAAAGCGAGGAGAGACGUGAAACACGCGCGUGCGCACCCGCGUAACACAUAUACACAUAUAAGAAAGAGAGAGAGCAAGAAAGAGAUAACGAAGACACGGCGCAGGAAGAGGCAAGAGAAUCAGUGACACUGGGAGGGUCGAGUAUUCCUCGUGCAAAACCGCCACCGGAAUAUAUGUCGUGAGUGUGCGACCAAAGAUCCGCGGAUAGAGGCCGGCGAUAGUGCGUGCAGAGCUUUAAGAAGCAAAAAAAAAGCAAAGACUCCGGGUGAAAAGCAAUGCGGGUUCAUUGACUGCGUGCCGCGCAAUGGCUGCAUGUUCGUGGCCGAUGCACAGUGCAUGUGUGACAGGAGCUACGAGGAGGACGACGCCGAGGACGACGAGGUCGAAGAUACCGGCUACGGCCAAUAUCGAACUCGAGACCUACUGAAAUUCUGUUCGAAUUCUGUAUGUGAUCGAGGACUCGAGGACUAUCUUGAUCAAAACUGCGAUAACAACGAGAAACAUUGGAAUUUUUCGUGCUUUUUACGUGAGUAACUCGGUUACUACUGGACUUCAACAAAAUUCUGCGCAUCCAUUUGCAGAUAUGAUAUUAAUUUAUCAGGAUAUUACUAAUGAACACUUAAUCAACAUUUUCUUAUAAAUCUUCAUAAAGUUUUAUCGUUAAUAAUCUCUUGAACUUCUGAAUUUUACCAAAGACACGAAGAGAAUCCUGACACAGACUUUAAUCCAGUUAAAUUAUCUUU